UGCUCAUGAGAUGGCUGUGACAUACAUCAUCCUAUUGAUUUCCAUCAAUUAUUAGGCUGAUUUUGUUAUUUAGUCAGGUGUCAUAUUCCUUCAUAAGUCCUCAUUGUGUGUUCUGAAACUGUGAUGAUAACCUUGCGCAACAGAAAAAAUUCCUCCUUUGGACAAGAAUUUAUGAGUGUCUGUGCUCACAAUCUAGAGUCUCCAAAUAUUUCUAAAAACAAAAAACAAAAAACAAAAAAACACUGUCUUCAAGAACAAAACAGGAAACACUGAUCAACUCAACCAAUAAACUAACUAUGGUAGUCACAUU
rnacentral:sRNA from 1 species